CUGGCUUCACUCGAUACACU
rnacentral:misc_RNA from 1 species